rnacentral:rRNA from 1 species
GUGCCAGCCGCCGCGGUAAUACGGGGGGAGCAAGCGUUGUUCGGAUUUACUGGGCGUAAAGGGCGCGUAGGCGGCCACCGCAAGUCGACUGUGAAAUCUCCGGGCUUAACCCGGAAAGGUCAGCCGAUACUGCGGGGCUAGAGUGCAGAAGGGGCAACUGGAAUUCUCGGUGUAGCGGUGAAAUGCGUAGAUAUCGAGAGGAACACCUGCGGCGAAGGCGGGUUGCUGGGC